rnacentral:rRNA from 1 species
CCUACGGGAGGCAGCAGUGAGGAAUAUUGGUCAAUGGACGCAAGUCUGAACCAGCCAUGCCGCGUGCAGGAAGACGGCUCUAUGAGUUGUAAACUGCUUUUGUACUAGGGUAAACUCAGAUACGCGUAUCUGACUGAAAGUAUAGUACGAAUAAGGACCGGCUAACUCCGUGCCAGCAGCCGCGGUAAUACGGAGGGUCCAAGCGUUAUCCGGAUUUAUUGGGUUUAAAGGGUGCGUAGGCGGUUAGAUAAGUUAGAGGUGAAAUACCGGUGCUUAACACCGGAACUGCCUCUAAUACUGUUUAGCUAGAGAAUAGUUGCGGUAGGCGGAAUGUAUGGUGUAGCGGUGAAAUGCUUAGAGAUCAUACAGAACACCGAUUGCGAAGGCAGCUUACCAAGCUAUUUCUGACGUUGAGGCACGAAAG